CCCACACAAUUACAUAUUAAACGAAGGAAUACAAUUUCUGCAUGUGUCGAAUACAAUUUGGCUCGCGUUUCACUCACAACAAAGUCUGGAACGAGAUAAAGCGAAGGGCCUAAGUUACACCCACGAAAAUGACAAGUUUGACAGCUGAUGACAAUCAUUUAUAUUGAUAUGCAAUGCUUGGCUUCGUUAACGGUGCCUGUGCAAGUGGGCGGUCGUCGUAAGCGUUGUGUGAUAAUUAAAUUAAAGAAGCAAGCAAACUCACCGCAAUUUUCUUCAGGCGAGAAGUUUGAUGAACUUCUAACAAGCAAUUGGCAGAGAAGAAAGGGACCGUUUUCAAACUGUGAAUUUGUUAAUUUAUGGAAAGUAUUGGUGGUUUUCUUAUGCGCCUUGCUGUCAAAAUUAUUAUUAUUGUUUGCCUGAUGAGAUGAAGACAAGGAAGAGCUUUGGC